AUCUAACUCUGUUAUCUGAAAGGGGUAAACAAAAUUCACCAUUGAAGUAGCUUAAAUCCCAUUGAAGAAGAAGAAGAAUUAAAGAAAUGGAAAAGGAAGCAAAGAAAGAAGGUUUCAGGAAGUAUUUGGAGGCCAGUGGAGUUCUUGAUGCUCUAACCAAAGUCCUUGUUGCACUAUACGAGCAGAAUGACAAACCUUCUUCAGCUCUCGAAUUUGUCCAGCAAAAAUUAGGCGGUCCAUCACUCUCUGAAUAUGAAAAGCUACAAGCCGAGUUAUCAGAGCUGCAAAUCAAAUAUAAUGAACUUAUAAAAGAAAACCAAGAAAGAUGCAAAGAGUUGGAGGAAUUGAAACACACACAAGUAGAAGCAUCAG
rnacentral:misc_RNA from 1 species